CACUUUACAAGGAAUUAUGGUCUAACCAUGUGACCACACAUGAGACCUAGGAAGGUCCUUCAACACACCUUACUAGAAUUAACAUGAGUCAUGUGACCUAAGGUCCUGCGACACUAUAUAGAUAAUUAAACAUACAAUUAUUUAUACAUGUAGACAUCAUAGAAUUGAAUAAGGAAGAGGCGACUAGGGGCUAUCCUACUAGGAGGAGGCUACUGGAACGAAGGAACUCUGACUUUGGGGACCACCACACAAGAUGCAUUAUUUCCAGCAUGUGGAGUAGCAUUUCCGGACUUAAAGCAAGAAGUUGGAUGAUGGCCUAGAUUUCCGGACCUACAGCAAGAUGUUGGAUGAUGGCCUAGAUUUCCGGACCUACAGCAAGAAGUUGGAUGAAGGCACAGCCCCUCGAAUCACGAACAUACACAGACACAUUGGCCCAAAUUCUAGAGGUAACCUCCUUUAGUAUGCCCAGAGGAAGGGCAAUACAGUAGCCAUGGAUUCCCUACAGGUUUCCUCCCCUCUGGAGGUUUUUCCUGUCCUGAGUUAGUUACUGUACGCUCUUUGUGAGUGAUGGAGGUUACAUAAAUCCCUACACAAACAUUUUAAUAAAUAAUAAAGUUUUCCUUUUUUUAAACUAUUC